UAGAGAAGAUCCAUGCCUUUGUCGCGAUGAGGAUAUGAGGGUUUGCUGUAUUAAAUUAAGGAAAUUGGAAAAAGCAAUGGGGACGUUGGAUCUGCGAGAGUUGUUGUAUGGGUGAUUAGGAAUCGAGAUGGUUAACUGAGAGAUGCCGUAGAUAAGAGACGCGCCAUCACAGAGAAGUCUGGUUUAUUUGUCGUGGUGGCGGCAUGGAGAAGAAAGUUAGGGCUGAAUGUGUUAGGCUUAGAAAACUG
rnacentral:lncRNA from 1 species